GAUGAACGCUGGCGGCGUGCCUAAUACAUGCAAGUCGAGCGAACGGACGAGAAGCUUGCUUCUCUGAUGUUAGCGGCGGACGGGUGAGUAACACGUGGAUAACCUACCUAUAAGACUGGGAUAACUUCGGGAAACCGGAGCUAAUACCGGAUGAUAUUUUGAACCGCAUGGUUCAAAAGUGAAAGACGGUCUUGCUGUCACUUAUAGAUGGAUCCGCGCUGCAUUAGCUAGUUGGUAAGGUAACGGCUUACCAAGGCAACGAUGCAUAGCCGACCUGGGAGGGUGAUCGGCAACACUGGAACUGAGACACGGUCCAGACUCCUACGGGAGGCAGCAGUAGGGAAUCUUCCGCAAUGGGCGAAAGCCUGACGGAGCAACGCCGCGUGAGUGAUGAAGGUCUUCGGAUCGUAAAACUCUGUUAUUAGGGAAGAACAUAUGUGUAAGUAACUGUGCACAUCUUGACGGUACCUAAUCAGAAAGCCACGGCUAACUACGUG
rnacentral:rRNA from 1 species